rnacentral:rRNA from 1 species
GAUGAACGCUGGCGGCGUGCCUAAUACAUGCAAGUCGAGCGAAUGGAUUAAGAGCUUGCUCUUAUGAAGUUAGCGGCGGACGGGUGAGUAACACGUGGGUAACCUGCCCAUAAGACUGGGAUAACUCCGGGAAACCGGGGCUAAUACCGGAUAACAUUUGAACCGCAUGGUUCGAAAUUGCAAGUCGGCUUCGGCUGUCACUGAUGGAUGGACCCGCGUCGCAUUAGAUAGUUGGUGAGGUAACGGCUCACCAAGGCAACGAUGCGUAGCCGACCUGAGAGGGUGAUCGGCCACACUGGGACUGAGACACGGCCCAGACUCCUACGGGAGGCAGCAGUAGGGAAUCUUCCGCAAUGGACGAAAGUCUGACGGAGCAACGCCGCGUGAGUGAUGAAGGCUUUCGGGUCGUAAAACUCUGUUGUUAGGGAAGAACAAGUGCUAGUUGAAUAAGCUGGCACCUUGACGGUACCUAACCAGAAAGCCACGGCUAACUACGUGCCAGCCGCCGCAGUAA